CCGGCCUGAGAGGGCGACCGGCCACACUGGGACUGAGACACGGCCCAGACUCCUACGGGAGGCAGCAGUGGGGAAUAUUGGGCAAUGGGCGAAAGCCUGACCCAGCGACGCCGCGUGAGGGAUGAAGGCCUUCGGGUUGUAAACCUCUUUCAGCAGGGAAGAAGCGAAAGUGACGGUACCUAAAGAAGAAGCACCGGCUAACUAUGUGCCAGCAGCCGCGGUAAUACAUAGGGUGCAAGCGUUGUCCGGAAUUAUUGGGCGUAAAGAGCUCGUAGGUCGUUUGUCACGUCGAAUGUGAAAAUCUGAGGCUCAACCUCAGACCUGCAUUCGAUACGGGCAAACUAGAGUGUGGUAGGGGAGACU
rnacentral:rRNA from 1 species